AUCAGAUUCUUGGAUUCGCCUUGAAAAUGAUUUUGAAAAUCAUGGUCAGGCAUGAGGCGGACUGGACUGUGCGUUGUGUGGUCAGAGAUUGAAUCCUCAGCCUCAAGGCAGGUACCGUGCAUCUCCGCCCUGCCGCCGAGAGAGAAGCAGGCCUGCAGGAGCUUGGGGACUUACCUGGACCCACUCAGAUGUGGUUCUGCAGGCUUCCUACACCCAAACAGUGGGCUGCCUUACCUCCCAAAGUGGCAGGUGUUUCCAGAGGAAUGUUUACUGAUCACAUCAGGCCAUGUGCUCAUUAUCAAAGUCAGGUCUCUUCACUGAAGAAUCAGCCGUCUCCAUAACAGUGUGCUUGUAAUGCUUACAAAAAUAGUUACACAGUUGAGAGAAAUAAUAAUUCCCUCUAGGCCUCACUGCCGCUUUAUCAUUUUGACAGCCUCUGAUUAUUUUCCUGUUAUUGAUUCAGUGGAUAAAGGUUUCCGUUUAGGAGCUUAAGUGCAGCCUUGUGAAUCUUAGUACCUGCCACAUGAUUUACAUAGUUCAGAAGCAGACAUCCCCCUAUAAGGCCUCCUGUUUCAAGAAGCCUCUCUAGAGGUCAGAAGAGCCCACAGCCAAGUUUUAUGGCACAGCACAGGGUGGUAGGAUGGCUCUAAAUACGGCUUCCGAGAGGGUCGAGUGCUCAGCUGGCACAGAGAUGUGGUUCCUGCAGACCCACCAGGGAGGACAGCCAGGGAUCGCAUGGUUUUGUAAAUUAAAAUGCCCAAGCUCAGAGGCCUGCAAGGACUUAGCUUAAAGCAACAGGCAGGCCAGGUGCGGUGGCUCACAACUAUAAUCCCAGCACUUUGGAAGGCUGAGGUGGGCAGAUCACAAGGUCAGGAGUUCGAGACCAGCCUGGCCAAUAUGGUGAAACCCCAUCUCUACUAAAAAUACAAAUAUUAGCCAGGCAUGGUGGCAGGCACCUGUAGUCCCAGCUACCUGGGAGGCUGAGGCAGGAGAAUGGCUUGAACCCAGGAGGUGGAGGUUGCAGUGAGCCGAGAUCAAGCCACUGCACUCCAGCCUGGGCGACAGAGCAAGACUGCGUCUCAAAUAAAUAAGGCAACAGGGAGAGUCUGGAUGCAGUGGCUCAUGCCUGUAAUCCCAGCACUUUAGGAGGCCAAGGCAGGCAGAUCACAAGGUCAGGAGUUCAAGACCAACCUGGCCAACAUAGUGAAACCAUGUCUCCAUUAAAAAUAUAAAAAUUAGCCAGGCAUGAUGGCCCAUGCCUGUAAUCCCAGCUACUUGAGAGGCUGAGGCACAAGAAUCACUUGAACCUGGGAGGCGGAGGUUGCAGUGAGCCAAGAUUGUGCUGCUGCACUCCAACCUAGGGGGCAAAGCAAGACUCUCAAAAAAACAAAAAACAAAAAAACAGGGAGAGUUUUCCUGUUGAUAGUCACCUGGGCUGUUUCCUGUUUGGAGCUUUAUGAAUAAGGCUUCUGUGAACAUUCUUGUGCAAGUCUUUUUAUAGGCAUAGGUUUUUAUUUCAUUUGGAUGAAUAUCUAAAGGCAGAAUGGCUGGGUCAUAUGGCAUGUGAAUGUUUAACUUUAUAAGAACCUACUGGGCUCGGCGCGGUGGCUCACGCCUGUAAUCCCAGCACUUUGGGAGGCCGAGGCAGGCAGAUCACGAGUGUCAGGCCUCUGAGCCCAAGCCAAGCCAUCUCAUCCCCUGUGACUUGCACGUAUACAUCCAGAUGGCCUGAAGUAACUGAAGAUCCACAAAAGAAGUAAAAAUAGCCUUAACUGAUGACAUUCCACCAUUGUGAUUUGUUUCUGCCCCACCCUCACUGAUCAAUGUACUUUGUAAUCUCCACCACCCUUAAGAAGAUUCUUUAUAAUUUCCCCCACCCUUAAGAAGGUUCUUUGUAAUUCUCCCAACCCUUGAGAAUGUACUUUGUGAGAUCCACCCCUGCCCGCAAAACAUUGCUCUUAACUUCACCGCCUAUCCCAAAACCUAUAAGAACUAAUGAUAAUCCACCACCCUUUGCUGACUCUCUUUUCGGACUCGGCCCGCCUGCACCCAGGUGAAAUAAACAGCCAUGUUGCUCACACAAAGCCUGUUUGGUGGUCUCUUCACAGGGACGUGCAUGAAAACGAGGUAAAGAGAUCAAGACCAUCCUGGUCAACAUGGUGAAGCCCUGUCUCUACUAAAAAUACAAAAAUUAGCUGGGUGUGGUGACGUGUGCCUGUAGCCCCAGCUACUCAGCAGGCUGAGGCAGGAUAAUCGCCUGAACCCGGGAGGCGGAGGUUGC
rnacentral:lncRNA from 1 species